rnacentral:rRNA from 1 species
GUCCACGCCCUAAACGAUGUCAACUGGUUGUUGGGAAGGUUCCUUCUCAGUAACGUAGCUAACGCGUGAAGUUGACCGCCUGGGGAGUACGGCCGCAAGGUUGAAACUCAAAGGAAAUUGACGGGGACCCGGCACAAGCGGUGGAUGAUGUGGUUUAAUUUCGAUGCAACGCGAAAAACCUUAACCUACCCUUGACAUGUCUGGAAUCUUGCAGAGAUGUGAGAGUGCUCGAAAGAGAACCAGAACACAGGUGCUGCAUGGCCGUCGU